UGUGCUCACCACGCAAUUCACUAAGUUUAACAUGGGGCUAACAUGUCCCAGGACAAUGACUAACAAGUUAUAUCGGACAUAAUCCGUGAUAAGAGAGAAACCUGGAAUAGCAAGCAGCGUAACGCGUUUAGACCAUGGGUAUAGAAUCGCGCAAGGAGGGGGGCGUUUCCGAUCAGGUUGUCAGAGAGGUAACAGCUCGACAAGCCUUUCACCGGUGGUCCCCGUGAGAGUGGAAGACUUCAGAUGGGCACUAAGACAAGGUCCCAGUUCCUCCGGGGUCCAGCAGUGCAGAAAACUCCGCAUUACAAUAAAGUGUGUACGGGAUUUCCCCAGGCCCUUACUAAACCGAUGGCUUUUGUUUUAGUGUAUAAAAAUGGGGGACUACAGAGAAGGCACAGGUAUUGUCAGCCGGGGUGGCAAUACUAUUUCUCAGAUUGGUGGGGAUGUUUAUUGGGCACAAAGCAACAGUAGCCUCUUACGCAAGUCCUCCGGGAAUCCUCGAUUCAAUUGUCACAGUGUGGGGGAUUCUGUCCGGCUAGGCCCCGGAGAGGCCGAUAUGUAUCCCCGGGGUUGGUGUGAAAUCCUAUAAUCCCGGGAGGACCACCAGUGGCGAAGGCUGUCGGUUAGAACCUGCUCGACGGUGAGGGAUGAAAGCUGGGGGAUCGAACCGGAUUAGAUACCCGGGUAGUCCCCAUUGUAAACGAUGCAAACUAGGUGUAGGCGUCCUCAGUUUCCGCUCCAGUUCCUCAGGGAAGCCGUUAAGCAUGCCGCCUGGGAAGUACGGUCGCAAGGGGGCAAAUUCAUGGAAUUGGCGGGGGAGCUCCACAAUGGGUGAAGCAGCGGUUU
rnacentral:rRNA from 1 species